UAGAGAGGAAAGCGGUAUUCCUAGUGUAGCGGUGAAAUGCGUAGAUAUUAGGAGGAACACCAGUGGCGAAGGCGGCUUUCUGGACUGUAACUGACACUGAGGUACGAAAGCGUGGGGAGCAAACAGGAUUAGAUACCCUGGUAGUCCACGCCGUAAACGAUGAGCACUAGGUGUCGGGGUCGCAAGACUUCGGUGCCGCAGUUAACGCAUUAAGUGCUCCGCCUGGGGAGUACGCACGCAAGUGUGAAACUC
rnacentral:rRNA from 1 species